rnacentral:misc_RNA from 1 species
UGAGGAGAGCAGCGUGGAAGAAGCAAAGGGAGGAGGAGGAAAGGUAGGAACGGUCGGAGCAGAGCCACGGGGACGACACGGUGAAUUUAUUUAAAUUGCGAGCAAUGUUCCAGCGUGUUCAGCAGCUUCUUCUGGGCCGGCGCAAUCGAAAUCGAGCAAAACGAGCAGCAAAGCGUGCUGGAUCGCCGGUUUAUAUAAGGCGGGGAGAAGUCGAACGGUGGGUCGCCCCGUGGGACAACGCCACUGAACCACCUCCGCUGCUCUUCCCACCCUCUGCCCCCUUCGUUUCUCUCUGCCACGCCGCAACGCUCCAUC